UGGGGAAUUUUGCACAAUGGGGGAAACCCUGAUGCAGCGACGCCGCGUGAUUUAGAAGGCCUUCGGGUUGUAAAAAUCUUUUCUAUGGGAAGAAAAUGACAGUACCAUAGGAAUAAGGACCGGCUAAUUACGUGCCAGCAGCCGCGGUAAUACGUAAGGUCCGAGCGUUGUCCGGAAUCAUUGGGCGUAAAGGGUACGUAGGCGGGUAAGCAAGUUAGAAGUGAAAUCCUAUAGCUCAACUAUAGUAAGCUUUUAAAACUGCUCAUCUUGAGGUAUGGAAGGGAAAGUGGAAUUCCUAGUGUAGCGGUGAAAUGCGCAGAUAUUGGGAGGAAUACCGGUGGCGAAGGCGACUUUCUGGCCAUAACCUGACGCUGAGGUACGAAAGCGUGGGUAGCAAACAGG
rnacentral:rRNA from 1 species